GAUUGAUCGUUAAUAAGAAGAAGUAGUCAAACCCGUCUGUAACAGAGACAAUCAGCUAGGCUGGGACUGAUUGAUAGACGCUUGAUGAAAUGCCUCUUAGAGACUCUAUUUGAAGUGAGUAGGAUAGAGCGUUGACUGUGCGUUAAACAGCUAAGUUGGGAGUGUAGGUUGCUCCAAACAGAGUGGAACCACGCGAAAGCGUCUCUGUC
rnacentral:ncRNA from 1 species